GGACAGUUGGCCGAGCGGCUUAAGGCGCACGCCUGGAACGCGUGUAUACGGCAACCCCGUAUCGAGGGUUCGAAUCCCUCACUGUCCGCUA
rnacentral:tRNA from 2 species